rnacentral:rRNA from 1 species
UACGUAGGGUGCGAGCGUUGUCCGGAAUUACUGGGCGUAAAGAGCUCGUAGGUGGUUUGUCGCGUUGUUCGUGAAAUCUCACGGCUUAACUGUGAGCGUGCGGGCGAUACGGGCAGACUAGAGUACUGCAGGGGAGACUGGAGUUCCUGGUGUAGCGGUGGAAUGCGCAGAUAUCAGGAGGAACACCGGUGGCGAAGGCGGGUCUCUGGGCAGUAACUGACGCUGAGGAGCGAAAGCGUGGGGAGCGAACAGGAUUAGAUACCCUGGUAGUCCACGCCGUAAACGGUGGGUACUAGGUGUGGGUUUCCUUCCCUUGGGAUCCGUGCCGUAGCUAACGCAUUAAGUACCCCGCCUGGGGAGUACGGCCGCAAGGCUAAAACUCAAAGGAAU